rnacentral:rRNA from 1 species
CGCGUAGGCGGCAUGCCAAGCGUGUGGUGAAAGCCCGGGGCUCAACCCCGGGUCGGCCGUGCGGACUGGCGUGCUCGAGCACUGUAGGGGCGGGUGGAAUUCCGGGUGUAGCGGUGGAAUGCGUAGAGAUCCGGAAGAACACCGGUGGCGAAGGCGGCCCGCUGGGCAGGAAGACGGAGCAAUCCGUCGGCUGACGCUGAGGCGCGACAGCGUGGGGAGCAAACA